UGGAUGCACCUCUUCCACACUCACUAAGGAGGGCAGUUUGGAAGAAGGUCUGAGCAGCAUUGCCUCAGCACCUUUCUGCCUUGUGGGGGCGGCCUGCCUAGGACACCCACCUUCUCCGUCCUCCGCUCUGUAAGCUGACUGGGGCACUCUCUGCCUGCUCUAGGACACUCCAAAUUUUCCAUCUCAGCCAGGACAGGUGCAGGUAGAAGGUGGUGAUCUUGAGUGAUUUUAAAGCCACGUGAUUUGAUUUCCAUAAGUGGAUGUUAGAAGGCCAAGGAAGGGAAGCCUGGGGGCAGGGAAGCCAGAGUUCAAGGAACUGGAGGAGCUGGCAGAAUCCAAGGAGGCAAAAUCUCAGAUGUCACUGAGGACUUCUUUUGGCCUUGGCCACGAAAGCAAUGUGUCAGAGAAGCAACGCUCUGAUGGCCACGCUGGGCGACUCCAUCAUCCUCUUAGCUACUUGAUGC